rnacentral:rRNA from 1 species
CCUACGGGUGGCAGCAGGGAGGAAUAUUGGUCAAUGGACGAGAGUCUGAACCAGCCAAGUAGCGUGAAGGAUGACUGCCCUAUGGGUUGUAAACUUCUUUUAUAUGGGAAUAAAAUGUUCCACGUGUGGGAUUUUGUAUGUACCAUAUGAAUAAGGAUCGGCUAACUCCGUGCCAGCAGCCGCGGUAAUACGGAGGAUACGAGCGUUAUCCGGGUUUAUUGGGUUUAAAGGGAGCGUAGGUGGUUUGUUAAGUCAGUUGUGAAAGUUUGCGGCUCAACCGUAAAAUUGCAUUUGAAACUGGCAAUCUAGAGUACAGUAGAGGUGGGCGGAAUUCGAUGUGUAGCGGUGAAAUGCUUAGAUAUCACGAAGAACUCCGAUUGCGAAGGCAGCUCACUGGAUUGCAACUGACGCUGAGGCUCGAAAGUGUGGGUAGCAAACAGGAUUAGAUACCCCAGUAGUC